rnacentral:rRNA from 1 species
GACCGGGGCGACAGCAAUAUGAAGGUCAGGCUGAAGACCUUACCCGAUUAGCUGAGAGGUGGUGCAUGGCCGUCGUCAGUUCGUACUGUGAAGCAUCCUGUUAAGUCAGGCAACGAGCGAGACCCACGUCCACAGUUGCCAGCAUACCCUCCGGGGUGAUGGGUACACUGUGGAGACCGCCGCUGCUAAAGCGGAGGAAGGAGUGGGCAACGGUAGGUCAGUAUGCCCCGAAUCUCCCGGGCUACACGCGGGCUACAAUGGUUGGUACAAUGGGCAUCUACCCCGAAAGGGGAAGGAAAUCUCUUAAAGCCAAUCGUAGUUCGGAUUGAGGGCUGCAACUCGCCCUCAUGAAGCUGGAAUCCGUAGUAAUCGCGUUUCAACAGAACGCGGUGAAUACGUCCCUGCUCCUU